rnacentral:hammerhead_ribozyme from 1 species
CAGCGAAACAGCCCGCCCGCAAGGCGGGCUGUCGCGGCGGGACGGCAACCCGCCGCCUGAUGAGCAAGCCAUAA